UACGUAGGAGGCGAGCGUUGUCCGGAAUUACUGGGCGUAAAGCGUGCGCAGGCGGUUUGUUAAGUCCGCUGUGAAAUCCCCGAGCUCAACUUGGGAAUUGCAGUGGAUACUGGCAAGCUGGAGUAUGGUAGAGGAAAGUGGAAUUCCACGUGUAGCGGUGAAAUGCGUAGAUAUGUGGAGGAACACCAGUGGCGAAGGCGACUUUCUGGACUGUAACUGACGCUGAGGCGCGAAAGCGUGGGGAGCAAACAGG
rnacentral:rRNA from 1 species